CAGCAGCCGCGGUAAUACGUAGGGUGCGAGCGUUAAUCGGAUUUACUGGGCGUAAAGCGUGCGCAGGCGGCCCGUUAAGACAGGUGUGAAAUCCCUGGGCUCAACCUAGGAAUUGCGCUUGUGACUGGCGGGCUCGAGUACGGUAGAGGGGGGUGGAAUUCCUGGUGUAGCAGUGAAAUGCGUAGAGAUCAGGAGGAACACCGAUGGCGAAGGCAGCCCCCUGGGCCUGUACUGACGCUCAUGCACGAAAGCGUGGGGAGCAAACAGGAUUAGAUACCCUGGUAGUCCACGCCCUAAACGAUGGGUACUAGCCGUUUGGUGCGCGAUAGCGCUGAGUGGCGAAGCUAACGCGAGAAGUACCCCGCCUGGGGAGUACGGCCGCAAGGUUGAAACUUAAAGGAAUUGGCGGG
rnacentral:rRNA from 1 species